rnacentral:rRNA from 1 species
CACGUAGGGCGCAAGCGUUGUCCGGAAUUAUUGGGCGUAAAGAGCUCGUAGGCGGUCUGUUGCGUCCGCUGUGAAAACUCGGGGCUUAACCCCGAGCCUGCAGUGGAUACGGGCAGACUAGAGGUAGGUAGGGGAGAAUGGAAUUCCCGGUGUAGCGGUGAAAUGCGUAGAUAUCUGGAGGAAUACCGGUGGCGAAGGCGGCAUCCUGGACCGAUAUUGACGCUGAUGAGCGAAAGCUAGGGGAGCAAACGGG